rnacentral:lncRNA from 10 species
UCCAGCUCCUUUCAGCCUUGACCUCCCGGGCUCAAGCUCAGCUCCCCCAAGUAGCUAGGGCCACAGGCAUGCACCACCAUGCCUGGCUAGUUUUUAAAUCUUCUGUAGAGAUAAGGUCUCACUAUAUUGCUCAGGCUGGCCUUGAACUCCUGGGCUCCAGCAAUCCACUUGGCUUCAGCCUCUCAAAGUGCUAGGAUUAGAGGUGUGAGUCAUUGUACCUGGCUGAAGUGGCUUUCUAACUAUCCAGUCAUGUGACCUUGGCCAUGCUGCCUCACUCUCUGAGCCUUGCUCCUAAAAUUAGAAGGUGUGCUAAGGAAUCCCUAGGUUUCCUUCUGGUUCUAAAUACUGUUGCUAUCCCAGCUUAGCAGAAUCUGUACCCGCAAAGCUGCAGCUAGUCUGCAGGGGGUGGUUUACUUGGGAGUCAGCCUCUGUUCAACACUGAAAGCAGCUCCUUCAGAAUGGGAGCGGGCACAGUGAGGGAGCACUGCUGGAACUCAUCACUCAUUUCUUCCUCCAUCAUCUUACUUUGACCAGCAUUUGUUAAAAACGUACCCUACACCAGACAACAUGCUAGCUGCUGAGACAGUGAAGACAAAACCAAGGACAGAGAGGCGAGCCAACAAUUUUAUACCACAGUCCUUCACACACCUCCCCCUCCAUCUCCAGCCUGCUGAAACACAGACACAGAAGGGAGACUGAAGAAGUCCUGUGCAAACAGAAGUUUAAAUAAAGCUAAGCAGUUCAGACAAGAGCUAAUCCAAACCAUCACAGGGAUGCAUUUGUGUGGCGGUCAGAUCAGAGCCAACACUAACAUCCUCAGCUCCCUUGAAUUCUGUGAAUUCUGUCUGCAGAAUGUGCUUACAAGGCUGGGAGACAUCGGCCUGCUUCAGAUCAGGAGCUGGCAUGCCCUGGUUGCCCAUGGCAACCCAGCUGCACGGGAGUGCUGGCGUUUGUAAAUGUGUGUGGGCUUAAAAUUAUAUUAUUGAUUCUGUCUGGAAGAAGAUAGUCUGAUUUGUAUAUAGCUCUGAAUAAAUUACUCCUUAUCCUUUACAGCCAUUGGAGUAUGAACCUCUCUCUCUUUCUCCUUUUCUUCUUCUUCUUUUUUUUUUUAGAGAGACAGCAAAUUGUGUCAGCAGAUGUGAAAUGAAAUGUUUCCCAUAACAACCGUACUAGAGGAAUCAACAUCCAGGGCACCAGCCUGGAAAGUAGUCCAGGCAUUACUGAAUAAAUAGCAAAUGGAUUUGGGAGAGAUGGAGACUCUAUCGGGUAGUCUAUUCCAAAGGGAACAUACGGUGUACUCUGAAUUACAGUGAGAUGCAGCCAGGAAUAGAGAGACAGGCAGCUCCACCCUGGACUCCAUCACUUCAACCUGAGUCCAGGCUUUCUCUUUUGUCUUCUCCCAUGUGUGGUAUAUACUCAGUGGACUCAAUUAUUGCCCCAAUUCCUCCUGCUCCUUAUAUCCAUACUCUUUGCCCUAUAACCCUGUGAAUCCUCCUACAAAAGGCAUCAUGCACUGCCCUUGACUCCAGGCUUGGUCUUGCAGCUCGCUUUGACUAACUGACAGAAGUGGCAGGGUGCCAGUUGCGAGUCUAGGCUUUAAAAGGUUUCAAGGAGUUUCCACUUGCCCUCCUGUCAUCACUGUGAGAAGAGUCUGCCUCUGGUAGCUGCUGUCAUUUUAGCUGGGACCCAGAUGAAUACACAUGGGGAGGAGUCACCACCUGCAAAUCCAGUCAGAUCAACAGCUCUAAGACCUACUCCAGCCUAGACAAGCCACUCCAGCCAAGCAGCAGAUGCAUGUGAAAUAAAUGUUUAUUGCUCUAUGCCACCAAGAUUUUGUAGGUGCUUGCCUUGCAGCAGUAGCUGACUGAUAGAAUCUUCCAUUUUUUCAACAUCAUGGCAAUCAGUAUCACUGACAAUGGGAAAGAAAAGAACAACAUCCCUCAGCUCCCCAUUUCGGCAGUCACUGAUCACAGGCCUUAUUGAGAGGAAAUCCAGGUCAUGCAUUACAAUUUCAACUCACGUUGGGUCCUCACUGUGCACUGUGUCAUCAAACAUGGUGUUGCCACCAGGUGCAUUCUGGAGGCCAGUGCAUCUGAGAAGCUCCAAGUAAAUUAUAAGACUCUGUCUCCACCACUGCUUUAGUGCCCAUGAAAGUCUUGUUCAAAUAUGGGUGGGAUUACAUUUGAAUCGAGGAGGAAUAAUGGCAUUAUACCUCCCAGAAUGCAUUGUAAACACUGCCUUCAAUUAAUCUUAGAAUGAACACCUUUACCAGAAUGCCAACCUCAUGCUCCUUCUAACUUCCACAUUUCCACCCUUCCGUCAAGGUUCAUAUUAUACAAGUACAUUCAAUCAAUUUUCAACAAAUAUUUAUUGAGCACCUGAUGUUGGCUGGGCCCUUGGAGCACCAUGCUAGAUAACAGAUUGAACAGAAAAAAAGUGGUGGAGUUGUGUCAUUAGGGAAGGUAAGAGUCAAGACUGACUCCUGGGCAUCUGUCCUGAACAACUGGGCAGAUGGAGAUGCCAUUUUCUAAGCUGGAAACACUUGGGGAGUUGCUGAUUUGGGAAAUAUAAAAAUUUCUGUUUGGAAUAUAUCAUGUUUGAGAUGCUUCUGAGACAUGAACGUUGAGAUGUCAAAUGGACAGUUAGGUGUCCAGAUAUGGAGCUCAGAGGAGAGGUCAGAGCUGAGGCUAUCAAUUUGGAGGGUUGCCAGCAUGUGGAUGCCAUUUAAAACCACAGGACUAGAGCCCGGGUGAGAUUUUCUAAGCAGAGAGCACUCAUAGAGAAGAGGGCCCAGGAGGAUAUUUAGAGGAGAGGCAGAGGAGGACUAAGCAAAGGGGUUGACAGGGGAGCAGCUGGAGAGAUAGGAGGAACACCAGAAGACUGUGCAGGCAGACACUGGUGCUUGCCAUGCUGUGUUAGCUCACUCUGUGUUGCUAUAAAGAAAUACCUGAGACUGGGUAAUUUAUAGAGAAAAGAGGUUUAUUUGGCUCACAGUUCUGCAGCCUGUAUGAGAAGUGUGGUGCUGGCAUCUGCUUCUGGUGAGGCCUCAGGAAGCUUGCAAUCAUAGCAGAAGGCAAAGGGGGAGCAGGCAUGUCACAUGGUGAAAGAGGGAGCAAGAGAGAGAGGAAGAAGAGGUGCCAAGGCUCCUUUAAACAACCAGCUCCCAUUGGAACUAGCAGAGUGAGAACUCACUCAUUACCAUGGCAACUGCACCAAGCCAUUCAUGAGGGAUCCACCCCCAUGACCCAGACACCUCCCACCAGGCCCAACCACCAACACUGGGGAUCACAUUUCAACAUGAGUUUGGAGGGGACACACAUUCAAAUCACAGCACAUGCUUUUCCACCCAGCAGCCAUUCUGCCCAUCUUUCCCUGGCUGACAGAACUCUGCCUUCGAGUAGGUGUUGGGGGUCAUGCCCUUCAUGAAAGGAGGAGUUUCUCUCUCAUCUCGGUGGGUGAAUCAAGCGGCCUGAGACAAGCAUGGCAACCCACUGUCCUCUCUGAUUUGGGCUUAGUCAUAAGCAUUUAACACAACUUUGGCCAAUCAGAUGUAGGUGGAAGUCUACUGGGUGGCUUUUGGGGAAAGGUUUCUCUGCUUUUAAAAAGUGAAAAAAAGGAGAAAGCAGAGUUCCAGUCCUGCCUCAGAGGGAGCUUCUGCAUGGAGGUGCUGCAGAAUCUUGCAACCAGGAUGAAUGUGAGGACUAAAGCUCACACAGUGAGGAAUAUUCUAUUUAAAUUACAUGUUGAAUUAGCCAACUUUGGAGAAUUCUCUACCACCUAGUUUAUGUUGUAAGGUAAUUAAUUUUGUAAAUGUUUAGGCAUUAUGGGUCUUCUAUGACUUUCAGCUAAAAGCAUCUUAAAUGGUACUUGUGGUUUCAAGUCAACCUGUUCACUUGACCGUUAACCCAUAACUUAAUGGAUUCUUUUACCUUAUUUGGGGAAAUAGCAAUUACCCAAUCUGUUAAGUAUAUGGUUUGUCAAUCUUAACACUAACUUAAUAUUAUGUUUACAAUUUGUUUCUUUCAACAGUCAAAAAACAAAUUAUUCUGCCAAGCAAGGAGCAUGUUUUAGCUUAGUCACCACAGAAGAAACAGAUCACUUUUAAUUAUGACAUUUCAUCAACACUUGGCAAGUAAGAAAGAUGGGUUGAAAGACUGCAUCAGAAAUAUUCUAGAGUUAUUUUCCUGCUAACAUGGAAACAAAAAGAUUCAAUGUGAGAAGAAAAAAUAGAUUCCUAAUGGUCAAGAGAACAAGAAAAUUAGAUAGAAACUUAAAUAUAAAGUACCCGGAAGUCAAAAUGUUUGAAAUGACACUUAGAGCCUUAAUUAACCAGAUUUUAAGAUAAUGACUGUAGUGUCUGUGUCUUCAAAUGGUUUGGGAUGUCCUUACAGCUCUUUGAAUAGUGUUCUCUUUAUUCAAUUAAUGCUUCUGAAAGAGCUUUAAUUUUACAUUAAUCAAAAGCCCUCAUGAUAUUUUCAGGAUGUACUCAAAUUCAAGAGUUUUUUAAAAGUGCAAUUAAGUUAUCAAGGCAGAGGCUCUGAUUAUAGGGACAAAAAUUUCAUAGCAACAGCCCAUUAAACACACUGAGCCUGACACAUUGCUGUACACCAUGGUUCAUGCCAGGCUGUGGGCAAAAUGGUCAGGCUUCCCAGUGAACAAGACUGACCUCCCUCUACCUUCCUCCUGAAGAGCAAAAUACUGCUUCUUUGACAACAUAAACAGUUACCUUAUACUACCCAUUUUUACAGCAAACGACUCUCUGCCUGUAAUCCAAGCUAAUGGAAUUUUUAAAAAUUCUAUGAGAGUUUUAAAAAGCAAGGACUGAAAAUAGCUUUUUCUUUUUUCUUUUUUUUUUUUUUUUUGAAACUGAGUUUCGCUCUUAUUGCCCAGGCUGGAGUGCAAUGGCACGAUCUUCGCUCACUGCAAACUCCGCCUCCCGGGUUCAAGCGAUUCUCCUGCCUCAGCCUCCCGAGUAGCUGAGAUUACAGGCAUGUGCCACCAUGCCCGGCUAAUUUUUUUGUAUUUUUAGUGGAGACAGGGUUUCUCCAUGUUGGUCACGCUGGUCUGGAACUCCUGACCUCAGGUGAUCCGCCCGCCUCAGCCUCCCAAAGUGCUGGGAUUACAGUCGUGAGCCACUGUGCCUGGUGAAAAUAGCUUUUUCUUUUCUUUUUUUAAUUAUACUUUAAGUUUUAGGGUACAUGUGCAUAACAUGCAGGUUUGUUACAUAUGUAUACAUGUUCCAUGUUGGUGUGCUGCACCCAUUAACUCGUCAUUUAACAUUAGGUAUAUCUCCUAAUGCUAUCCCUCCCCCCUCCCCCCACCCCACAACAGUCCCCGGUGUGUGAUGUUCCUCUUCCUGUGUCCAUGUGUUCUCAUUGUUCAAUUCGCACCCACGAGUGAGAACAUGCGGUGUUUGGUUUUUUGUCCCUGUGAUAGUUUGCUGAGAAUGAUGGUUUCCAGCUUCAUCCAUGUCCCUACAAAUGACAUGAACUCAUCAUUUUUUAUGGCUGCAUAGUAUUCCAUGGUGUAUAUGUG